AAAUUGAAGAGUUUGAUCAUGGCUCAGAUUGAACGCUGGCGGCAGGCCUAACACAUGCAAGUCGAACGGUAACAGGAAACAGCUUGCUGUUUCGCUGACGAGUGGCGGACGGGUGAGUAAUGUCUGGGAAACUGCCUGAUGGAGGGGGAUAACUACUGGAAACGGUAGCUAAUACCGCAUAACGUCGCAAGACCAAAGAGGGGGACCUUCGGGCCUCUUGCCAUCGGAUGUGCCCAGAUGGGAUUAGCUUGUUGGUGGGGUAACGGCUCACCAAGGCGACGAUCCCUAGCUGGUCUGAGAGGAUGACCAGCCACACUGGAACUGAGACACGGUCCAGACUCCUACGGGAGGCAGCAGUGGGGAAUAUUGCACAAUGGGCGCAAGCCUGAUGCAGCCAUGCC
rnacentral:rRNA from 1 species